UUACCUGCACCCAAGAAUGUGUGGUCAGACUUGGGGGUGUUCGUACUGCGUGCCUAGAGUCACAGACCUGGUAAGCAAGUUGCUGAUCUCUCUGCUCUAGCCUGUGAGCACAUUCUUAGACCACGGUUGAAAAGCCUUAAGGUGAAAUUCAUCCAUCUCGGGUCCAUGUAGGUUCUGAAAUCACCGCUUUCCCAGGGAGUUGUGUCCUCUGGCUGACCUGUGAUCUCCCCGAGCCCAGCAGACUUCAUCAUUGCAGAGGGUAGCGUUCUCCUUCACCUUUCUCAGUUCGGCAGGGAUUCCAACCUCACUGGAUGACGGUCUGCCCUGUAGCUCCCCUCCUCCCAGCACCGAGAAGGCCCUGGGUCUCUGCCGUCCGACUUGGAGCUUCCUGAUACAGCUCCUCCACUCUCCUCCAUUCCUAGUCCUUGGAGGUUGGAAGCCUGUUUCAGCUCCUGUCUUCUAGGGAGAUCAGAAUGUUGUCCUUUUGUCGCCGUGAGCCUUGGCACCCAGCUAGCAAAGCAGGAAGGUGUUGAACUCACUAAUGCUCUGCUUCCCCUGGUCCCUCCUGUAUUUCACCUUAGUCCACAGCCAGGCCUCCACAGACAGCGGUCUGAGGCUCUGUUCAAGGUCUCAAGGAGAGGCACUGGACAGGCUCUAGUUUUCUGAAAAAGUUGUCUUUGGGGCUUUCUCCUGUUAGGUCCCUUGAGUCUAGAAGGUACAGUGAAAGUUGUUUUAUUGUUCAGUAUUUAACUACAAGCGUCCUUCCCUGCACCAGUGUCUCCUCUGUGUCCUGAGUCCCUCCUUGAGCCCCUAUUUGCUUUGGAAUUUAAAUUAUUGUGUAUUGUCGGAAAUAUUUAAAGGCUUUUGGAAAAGUCCUGAAGGAAGCGUAUUACCAGGUUCUUUCCUUUGGCCUUUUCUCUUCGUGUCUUUCAAGGUACUGUACAUUGUUGACGGGAUGCCAAGCGGGCUGGGUUCAGUGGCUAAGCCUCCCACUAUUAUAGUGUCAUGCUGAUCUCAGCCUGGUCCCCACACCAGAGCUCUCAGAGACUUGAAUAAAACUGUCAUACUGG
rnacentral:lncRNA from 1 species